rnacentral:rRNA from 1 species
UGGGGAAUAUUGGACAAUGGGCGAAAGCCUGAUCCAGCCAUGCCGCGUGUGUGAAGAAGGUCUUCGGAUUGUACAGCACUUUAAGUUGGGAGGAAGGGCAGUAAGCGAAUACCUUGCUGUUUUGACGUUACCGACAGAAUAAGCACCGGCUAACUCUGUGCCAGCAGCCGCGGUAAUACAGAGGGUGCAAGCGUUAAUCGGAAUUACUGGGCGUAAAGCGCGCGUAGGUGGUUCGUUAAGUUGAAUGUGAAAGCCCCGGGCUCAACCUGGGAACUGCAUCCAAAACUGGCGAGCUAGAGUAGGGCAGAGGGUGGUGGAAUUUCCUGUGUAGCGGUGAAAUGCGUAGGUAUAGGAAGGAACACAAGUGGCGAAGGAGACCACCUGGGCUCAUACUGACACUGAGGUGCGAAAGCGUGGGGAGCAAACAGG